UAAUCUGCAAUUUUUUUCAUCAGCUAUAAAGACAGAGGCUAUAUAGCCGAAAUUUUCAGUCCUAUUCUGCAAGCGCAGAGCUGCAAAAAGCCUGCGGUGCUUGGAGGCGCCUGGUCGGGGCCCCUCUCUCCACUCUUUACUCUCGGGAUAGGAUGAUGGGGCUGGGAAUUGUUUUUUGCUUUUCUGGGUUUGUUUUGAUCUGACUUGGUUGGGUUUUGUAUUUUCUAUUUUCCUUUUUUCCCCCUUUUCCCUUUUUUACUUCUUUCUUUUCUUUUUUUUUCUUUUUCUUUCUUUUUUUUUUUUUAACCUAUUCUCUCCUGUCAUUCUCCCAGCCAAAAGCCGCCUUCGACCCUUUUGAUUUGAUGUAGCAAAGAGUGUGUCCAGAUUAUCUGAAAUUGACACUGAAGAAGGGGGGUAUUGUGUGCUCGGCGCUUGGAGUUACCCAGAGACCCAGCCAGUGACAGGGGAAGCUCUCGGAUUUAUCUUUUGCUGGAGAGCUGCGAGUUUGACACACGUACCUGGAUCCUCCAGGCGGCUUUGGGCGAGACUGGCGCUACCGGGGUAGGACUGCACCGAACUGAUGUAGGGGCUGGACGCGUGGCUGCUGACCGAGUUGACGUAGGGGUAGCCCAGCGGUCUGG